rnacentral:rRNA from 1 species
GAUGAACGCUGGCGGCGUGCCUAAUACAUGCAAGUCGAACGAAACUUCUUUAUCACCGAGUGCUUGCACUCACCGAUAAAGAGUUGAGUGGCGAACGGGUGAGUAACACGUGGGCAACCUGCCCAAAAGAGGGGGAUAACACUUGGAAACAGGUGCUAAUACAGCAUAACCAUAGUUACCGCAUGGUAACUAUGUAAAAGGUGGCUAUACUACCGCUUUUGGAUGGGCCCGCGGCGCAUUAGCUAGUUGGUAGGGUAAAGGCUUACCAAGGCAAUGAUGCGUAGCCGAAUUGAGAGGUUGAUCGGCCACAUUGGGACUGAGACACGGCCCAAACUCCUACGGGAGGCAGCAGUAGGGAAUCUUCCACAAUGGGCGAAAGCCUGAUGGAGCAACGCCGCGUGGGUGAAGAAGGUCUUCGGAUCGUAAAACCCUGUUGUUAGAGAAGAAAGUGUGUGAGAGUAACUGUUCACGUUUCGACGGUAUCUAACCAGAAAGCCACUGCUAACUACGUG